rnacentral:rRNA from 1 species
GACGUAGGAUGCAAGCGUUGUCCGGAUUUAUUGGGCGUAAAGAGUUCGUAGGUGGUUUGUUAAGUCUGAUGUUAAAGACUGGGGCUCAACCUCGGAAAUGCAUUGGAUACUGGCAGACUUGAGUGUGGUAGAGGCAAUCGGAAUUCCAGGUGUAGCGGUGAAAUGCGUAGAUAUCUGGAAGAACACCGGUGGCGCAAGCGGAUUGCUGGGCCAUAACUGACACUGAG